AACAGUUGUUUAAAAAUGUAACGUUGGACAUCCGUUUUUUCACAUAGCUUUGUUGUUUUAAUCCUCAAAUAUACUAGAUAUUACUAAGCAUAUAACCAAGAGCUAUAAGAACAUAAAGGAAAACAUAUACUGAAUUAGUUUUUAUAGUGGUUAGUGUUUGUUAACAAUUUAUUUUGUUUUGCGGAGGAAAUUUCGAAGAUUCUGUUUUAAAUCAUAGGGGUUGUAGGAACAGCGUGCGUGACGUUC
rnacentral:lncRNA from 1 species